GAUGCGGUGGCAUACUGGUUAGCGCGUUGGACUCCGGAUCGAGCAGUCCGGGUUCAAGUGCUGGCCGGCCGGAGGCCA